rnacentral:tRNA from 2 species
AGGGAAAUGCUGUAAUUGGAAGCCAGGGUUCGUUUAGGCCGAAUUGAUCGUAAGAUCGUGCAAGUUCAAGUCUUGUUUUCCCUA